CAGUGUGGUGCAACCAACAUAAUUGUACGUAUUUAUUGUUUUAGUGGUAAAUUAUUUAUUUAUUAUUAUUGAGAUGAAACAAAAGUAUGUUAAGUGUUUUAAAGAAGAGUACACAUGUCAUUUUAACUCCAUGCUAUUUGUUUUAAAGAGGAUAUCCUAUCAACCAAUUUGAACCUGCCCAAUGAUGAUUAGAUUAAAUCAA
rnacentral:lncRNA from 1 species